UGAACUCUGGAGCGAGUCGAGGACUUCCGGGGUCCGCUGUGCCCCCCGGGCCUACCGGAGCGUUUAAGUCUUCCUGGAGCCGAAGACCUUGUUACCAUGGAAACCCUCGCCAGGGAUCCGAGAUUAUGACUGUACCUUUUAACUUUGUAGCUGGAGCACAAGAAGUAUUUGUUUAAUGAAUGACGAACACAUUUAGGCUCUGUUUAAACGCUGAGAAUAAUCUUGUGAAUUGCUAAUAGUUCACUGGGUUUGGCCCUUAGUGUUGACUUCAAUAUGCUGAGAUGAAAACCAACACGCCUAGAGCUAAAGCUCGAUGACAUUGAUGAGUUUGAGAGCAUUCGAAAGGACCUGGAGACCCGUAAGAAACAGAAGGAAGAUGUGGAAGUCAUAGGAGGCAGUGAUGGAGAAGGAGCCAUUGGGCUCAGCAGUGAUCCCAAGAGCCGGGAUCAAAUGAUCAAUGAUCGGAUUGGUUAUAAACCCCAACCCAAGCCCAAUAAUCGUUCAUCUCAAUUUGGAAGUCUUGAAUUUUAGAGAUGGAUUAUCUUGCAUGCCAGAGCCAUGGAAUGGAAUAAAAUGAUGGCAGAAGUACAAACCAGAUUUAGAGAAUUGAGUGCUUGCAGUCAAGCAGAAUGUCAGAGAUAACUGCUUCUGCAUGAGAUUACUGAUGCUUAACUAGCACUCUAAGCUGGAAUCCAGACUCUGGUUUGUCUCUGGAAACUUUGAUUCUAUAAAACUGAUCUGAUUUUUUGCUUUUAAAAAUAAAUAUAUUUUUGGAAAAAAAAAAAAA